rnacentral:rRNA from 1 species
GGAGCUUGCUCUGUGGGAUCAGUGGCGAACGGGUGAGUAACACGUGAGCAACCUGCCCCUGACUCUGGGAUAAGCGCUGGAAACGGCGUCUAAUACUGGAUAUGUGACGUGACCGCAUGGUCUGCGUCUGGAAAGAAUUUCGGUUGGGGAUGGGCUCGCGGCCUAUCAGCUUGUUGGUGAGGUAAUGGCUCACCAAGGCGUCGACGGGUAGCCGGCCUGAGAGGGUGACCGGCCACACUGGGACUGAGACACGGCCCAGACUCCUACGGGAGGCAGCAGUGGGGAAUAUUGCACAAUGGGCGCAAGCCUGAUGCAGCAACGCCGCGUGAGGGACGACGGCCUUCGGGUUGUAAACCUCUUUUAGCAGGGAAGAAGCGAAAGUGACGGUACCUGCAGAAAAAGCGCCGGCUAACUACGUGCCAGCAGCCGCGGUAAUACGUAGGGCGCAAGCGUUAUCCGGAAUUAUUGGGCGUAAAGAGCUCGUAGGCGGUUUGUCGCGUCUGCUGUGAAAUCCGGAGGCUCAACCUCCGGCCUGCAGUGGGUACGGGCAGACUAGAGUGCGGUAGGGGAGAUUGGAAUUCCUGGUGUAGCGGUGGAAUGCGCAGAUAUCAGGAGGAACACCGAUGGCGAAGGCAGAUCUCUGGGCCGUAACUGACGCUGAGGAGCGAAAGGGUGGGGAGCAAACAGGCUUAGAUACCCUGGUAGUCCACCCCGUAAACGUUGGGAACUAGUUGUGGGGUCCAUUCCACGGAUUCCGUGACGCAGCUAACGCAUUAAGUUCCCCGCCUGGGGAGUACGGCCGCAAGGCUAAAACUCAAAGGAAUUGACGGGGACCCGCACAAGCGGCGGAGCAUGCGGAUUAAUUCGAUGCAACGCG